rnacentral:lncRNA from 1 species
GUCAGAUUUCAUAUCUUAAUCUCAUCAUUUUCAUGUCUACCUAAAAAAUAUGGCCUAUACCAUCUCUGUGUUGGCAACAUUACCGGUUAUCAUGGCUGUGCUUCUCUACCAACUCGGUACGUUCCCUCCAGCUCAAUAUCCCGAUCACGAGUUGACUCCAAAGCAGCUCCUAUUCGUGCCUAAACGAAACACUCACAUGCUUCAUGGCUCGGAAAAAAUCGGGGCCGGUCAGCUGCUGGGGCCAGAAGAUAUGGCUUAUGAUCCCAUCACCGGAAUUAUAUACACCGGCACAACCGAUGGGUGGAUCAACCGAGUCACGGUUACUAGUCGGCAGCUGAGUCUAAGGUGGAGAGAUGGGUCAACACCGGCGGCCGACCACUUGGACUUGUUCAUGGACAUCAUGGUGAAGUCAUCAUAGCAGAUGCUGUUAAAGUUAGUAAUAAACAAAUUUAUAAUAAAAUUUGAUUACCCAAAUUGUCUAUUCUUUGAGAUCAUCGCCCGGUUCAGGUCAGUCCUCGCUGUUGGCUUAAUACAUCAAAACAAUAUUUGAAUAUUCUCAUAUUCUAACAAUUUAUUUAUGGUGCCCAUUUGGUCAUGGAUUAAGAAAACUUUGGUGCCCAUUUGGUCCUCAUUAAAUUUUACUUUUUUUUUUCUGUCUCAUUUUCAAUCAUUUUUAUUUUUUUAACCAUUCAUUUUAUUUUCAAUAUUUCAUAAAAUAAUAUAACAUGUAAAUCGAAAAUUUUUAUUUUUUUUUAAAAGCUCAUUUUUAAAAAAAAAAUAAUAUUUCCCACAUUCUCAUUUGAAAAAAUGAGGGCAAAACGGGGCGUGACGUUGACUUUGCACAUGAUAAGAGUACUUCAAUUUUUAAACGGGGCCUAUGUGGCCUGUUUAACUAGCGGGUCCAUAAAUUUCGUGGUCCUCUAUGAAAUAAGGUUGGUUAGUCAAUUGGUCAUCGAACUUUUCAUUGAGUUAAAUCUCCUUGAAUUAUAAUUCAUUUAUUAAUUCCCUGAAAACUAUUAAAAGUUUUGCCCAUCCAGUAUUAAAGUGGAUUCUGUUUGGAAAAAAAUGGUUUUACACAACAAGAAGUUUAAUGACAUUUUAGAAACAUCAAGACGCUGUUCGAAUUAUUGAAACAGAACAAUAAAAAAAAAAAAGUUAGAGUCGAAUGAAUAAAUAGAUAGUGUCAAUGGCUUCAAUUAGUUAUUGAAACGAAAAAGCAACAAGCUUCUCGAGCCAAUAUUGAAACACCAAGUGCUAUGGUACUGAAGUAACUCUUGUCAUACUUUCAGAAAAAGCUCGAACGAUCUUUAAGCAAAAGGGUACUUGUACCCGAAAUCGAUACAGGUGGGUAGAGUAGAGAAUAUCUAGGGAUGCGAGACAAUCUGCUCUAAGGAACUCUGCAAAAUAGCCCCUUAACUUCGUGAGAAGGCUAUUUAUUCUUGUUGGACAAAGUUAACAUCUUUGAUAUGUCACAUAAGAAUUAUACAGGGGACAUUUGUUUGUAUUGCAAGGGUUACUAAAUGCGAGCAGAGAUGGCACAAUAGAGAUGCUGACUGAUGAAGCUGAUGGUCUAAAAUUCAAGCUAAGAGAUGCUGCUGAUAUUACUCUUGAUGGCAUUCUUUACUUUACAGAUGCUUCUUCUCAAUAAGCUCUCCACGAUUUUUUGUUUGAUUUUUCAGAAGGCAGACCGCAUGGCAGAUUCAUGACUUAUGAUCCGUCUACCAAACAAACAAAAGUUUCUAUUGCGUGGUUUGUAGUAAUUUCACCAGAUCAACAUUUUGUUAUAUUUUGCGAGACUACCAUGUAAGUUUUUCUUUACAUGCUAAUAAUUGACAUGUUUGGUACCAUACUAUAGCAUCCUUGACAAGGUUGAUGUUGUAAUUGAUUGCACUGCAGGAGAAUGUGUAAAAGGUAUUACAUAAAAGGUGAGAAGAGAGGAUCUCUGGAUACAUUUAUUGAAAAUUUACCUGGACUGCCUGACAACAUUCGAUACGAUGGAGAAGGCUGAUACUGGAUUGCAUUAACCACGGAAUGACUUAAAACACAUUCUUCUUCCACUAAACUUCUUAUAUUGUCCGUUGAAGUCUACGAAUAAUGCUUGUAAGUUUGCCUUGUAAUAGGGAAAUAUAUACUUUUGGACUUUGACACAAAGGUAUGCUUUCAUUCGUAAGGCAAUGGCAAUAGUGGCUAAGUACAUGGGUGAACCACCUCGAUUCCAAAAGAAUGGAGGGAUUUUCGCCGUUGAUUUGGAUGGAAAGCCGAUUGCACACUAUUAUGAUCAUGAUCUAUAUCAAAUCACUAGCGGGACCAAAAUUGGAGAGCAUUUGUAUUGUGGUUCGAUACAAUUUCCAUACGUCACGCGCCUUAAUAUUAGCCAGUAUCCAGCAACAUGAUAUGGAGGAUGGUUGGAUUUUUACUCUCUUAUUUGAUUGAUAGCAAGUUUCCAAAAAAAAGGGCUCAAACAGGUGGUUUAAUUUUCUAUGCUUGGAUAAACUGAACCCCAUGCUAUAAUAAUAUAAUAGUUGACAUAAUAUCACAAGGCAUCUUAUCAUUGUACUGUUUUACACACAAUUAACUCCCCCAUCCAAUAAUCUGUUGUUAUUUGGGAUCAUAUCACUGCAUUUGUUAAACCUUCUUUUUUUUUUUUUUUUUUUUUUUUUUUUUUUGUUUUUUGGGGUCAAAGUGGUAAAAUCGUAUGACUUCUAUGUAAUGGGACUGGAG